GUUCAUCACUUCGGCAGCACAUAUACUAAAAUUGAAACAGUACAGAGAAGAUUAGCAUGGCCCCUACGCAAGGGUGACAUGCAAAUUUGUAAAGCAUUCCAUAUUUAA